GGACGGGUGAGUAACGCGUGAGAAUCUGCCCUCAGGAUGGGGACAACAGCUGGAAACGGCUGCUAAUACCCGAUGUGCCGAGAGGUGAAACAUUUAUGGCUUGAGGAUGAGCUCGCGUCUGAUUAGCUAGUUGGUGGGGUAAAAGCCUACCAAGGCGACGAUCAGUAGCUGGUCUGAGAGGAUGAUCAGCCACACUGGGAAUGAGACACGGCCCAGACUCCUACGGGAGGCAGCAGUGGGGAAUUUUCCGCAAUGGGCGCAAGCCUGACGGAGCAAGACCGCGUGCGGGAGGACGGCCUAUUGGUUGUAAACCGCUUUUGAUAGGGAAGAAGUUCUGACGGUACCUAUCGAAUCAGCAUCGGCUAACUCCGUGCCAGCAGCCGCGGUAAUACGGAGGAUGCAAGCGUUAUCCGGAAUUAUUGGGCGUAAAGCGUCCGUAUGUGGUUGUUCAAGUCUGCUGUUAAAGCGUGCGGCUUAACCGCAUACCAGCAGUGGAAACUGGGCAACUAGAGUGCGGUAGAGGUCAGGGGAAUUCCCAGUGUAGCGGUGAAAUGCGUAGAUAUUGGGAAGAACACCGGUGGCGAAAGCGCCUGACUGGACCUGCACUGACAUGAGGGACGAAAGCUAGGG
rnacentral:rRNA from 1 species